rnacentral:rRNA from 1 species
CCUCUUGCAAAACACACAUAAGAGGUCCCGCCUGCCCAGUGACUGUUUGUUAAGCGGCCGCGGUAUCCUGACCGUGCCAAGGUAGCGCAAUCACUUGCCCUUUAAAUGGGGGCCCGUAUGAAUGGCACCACGAGGGCUAAGCUGUCUCCUUUUUCAGGUCAAUGAAAUUGAUCUCCCCGUGCAGAAGCGGGGAUAUAAUCAUAAGACGAGAAGACCCUGUGGAGCUUUAGACUUUAAGACUGACCCAUUCCCCACCUUGAUAACCCCUGGCUGAAACAUGGGAUACCGUCUGACUAUCUUUGGUUGGGGCGACCGUGGGGAUUAACAGAACCCCCAUGUGGACCGAGUGCCUACGCACUCAAAACCAAGAGUUACCACUCUAGUUAACAGAACUUCUGACUUACAAAUGAUCCGACAAAGUCGAUCAACGAACCGAGUUACCCCAGGGAUAACAGCGCAAUCCUCUUUGAGAGUUCAUAUCGACAAGGGGGUUUACGACCUCGAUGUUGGAUCAGGACAUCCCAAUGGCGCAGCAACUAUUAAGGGUUCGUUUGUUCAACGAUUAAAGUCCU